UGCUGGGAGGGCCAGGAAGGGCGCUCGCCCUGAGGGUCCAUCUCAGCCCAGGCGGUGGUGGCUCCUCCUUACAGCUUCUGUCCUCUGCCCUUCUCUCCUCAGUAGCCACAUCCUUCAGGACUCCCAACCCUGUUAUGGACGCUUCUUCAGAUUGAACUUUCUGUGCUCAAAUUAUUGUGUGGUUUCUGCCUCCUGUUUUGACUCUGACGGAUGCAGUAGAGAGCGGAAAGGUGCAUCCUGGACCUGGAAUCGUUAAGCCACCUCUGAGCAGUCGGCGUGUAUCAGAACUUCCUCACUGGGCCGGCGGCAGAGGGGCAGAAGGAAGUACAACGCGAGGGGUGUCCUGUCUACAUGUUGAUGACAGCCAUCGGUGGACAUGCAUUUCUUCUUGGCUGUGCUGUG
rnacentral:lncRNA from 1 species